rnacentral:rRNA from 2 species
GAUGAACGCUGGCGGCGUGCCUAAUACAUGCAAGUCGAGCGAACAGACGAGGAGCUUGCUCCUCUGACGUUAGCGGCGGACGGGUGAGUAACACGUGGAUAACCUACCUAUAAGACUGGGAUAACUUCGGGAAACCGGAGCUAAUACCGGAUAACAUGUUGAACCGCAUGGUUCAACAGUGAAAGACGGUCUUGCUGUCACUUAUAGAUGGAUCCGCGCCGCAUUAGCUAGUUGGUAAGGUAACGGCUUACCAAGGCAACGAUGCGUAGCCGACCUGAGAGGGUGAUCGGCCACACUGGAACUGAGACACGGUCCAGACUCCUACGGGAGGCAGCAGUAGGGAAUCUUCCGCAAUGGGCGAAAGCCUGACGGAGCAACGCCGCGUGAGUGAAGAAGGUCUUCGGAUCGUAAAACUCUGUUAUUAGGGAAGAACAAAUGUGUAAGUAACUAUGCACGUCUUGACGGUACCUAAUCAGAAAGCCACGGCUAACUACGUGCCAGCAGCCGCGGUAAUACGUAGGUGGCAAGCGUUAUCCGGAAUUAUUGGGCGUAAAGCGCGCGUAGGCGGUUUUUUAAGUCUGAUGUGAAAGCCCACGGCUCAACCGUGGAGGGUCAUUGGAAACUGGAAAACUUGAGUGCAGAAGAGGAAAGUGGAAUUCCAUGUGUAGCGGUGAAAUGCGCAGAGAUAUGGAGGAACACCAGUGGCGAAGGCGACUUUCUGGUCUGUAACUGACGCUGAUGUGCGAAAGCGUGGGGAUCAAACAGGAUUAGAUACCCUGGUAGUCCACGCCGUAAACGAUGAGUGCUAAGUGUUAGGGGGUUUCCGCCCCUUAGUGCUGCAGCUAACGCAUUAAGCACUCCGCC